GAUGAACGCUGGCGGCGUGCCUAACACAUGCAAGUCGAGCGAUUUACUUCGGUAAAGAGCGGCGGACGGGUGAGUAACGCGUGGGUAACCUGCCUCAUACACAUGGAUAACAUACCGAAAGGUAUGCUAAUACAAGAUGAUAUAAGAGAUUCGCAUGGAUUUCUUAUCAAAGCUUUUGCGGUAUGAGAUGGACCCGCGUCUGAUUAGCUAGUUGAUAAGGUAACGGCUUACCAAGGCGACGAUCAGUAGCCGACCUGAGAGGGUGAUCGGCCACAUUGGAACUGAGACACGGUCCAAACUCCUACGGGAGGCAGCAGUGGGGAAUAUUGCACAAUGGGCGAAAGCCUGAUGCAGCAACGCCGCGUGAGCGAUGAAGGCCUUCGGGUCGUAAAGCUCUGUCCUCAAGGAAGAUAAUGACGGUACUUGAGGAGGAAGCCCCGGCUAACUACGUGCCAGCAGCCGCCGUAACAC
rnacentral:rRNA from 1 species